AUCAACUUUCGAUGGUAGGAUAGAGGCCUACCAUGGUGGUAACGGGUAACGGGGUGUUAGGGCACGACACCGGAGAGGGAGCCUGAGAAACGGCUACCACAUCCAAGGAUGGCAGCAGGCGCGCAAAUUAUCCAAUCCCGACACGGGGAGGUAGUGACAAUAAAUAACAAUACAGGGUUCUUUCGGAUCUCGUAAUUGGAAUGAGUACAAUUUAAAUCUCUUAACGAGGAACAAUUGGAGGGCAAGUCUGGUGCCAGCAGCCGCGGUAAUUCCAGCUCCAAUAGCGUAUAUUAAAGUUGUUGCAGUUAAAAAGCUCGUAGUUGAAUUUCGGGGUUAGUAAGUUGGUCAUGCCUUUGGUAUGCACUGGCUUUACUGAUUCCUCCUUCUUGACGAACCGUGAUGUCAUUAAUUUGGUGUUGUGGGAAAUCAGGACUGUUACUUUGAAAAAAUUAGAGUGUUUAAAGCAGGCUAACGCUUGAAUACAUUAGCAUGGAAUAAUGAAAUAGGACGUUAAUCCUAUUUUGUUGGUUUCUAGGAUCGACGUAAUGAUUAAUAGGGAUAGUUGGGGGCAUUAGUAUUCAAUUGUCAGAGGUGAAAUUCUUGGAUUUAUUGAAGACUAACUACUGCGAAAGCAUUUGCCAAGGAUGUUUUCAUUAAUCAAGAACGAAAGUUAGGGGAUCGAAGACGAUCAGAUACCGUCGUAGUCUUAACCAUAAACUAUGCCGACUAGGGAUCGGAUGAUGUUAAUUUUUUAAUGACUCAUUCGGCGCCUUACGGGAAACCAAAGUGUUUGGGUUC
rnacentral:rRNA from 1 species